AUGGCGGCGCCCAACCGGAGAGGUGGCAGCGGCCGGAAGAAGAUCGUCAUCCGCCGGAUCGAGCAGGAGGAUGCCCGGUUCGUCUGCUACUCCAAGCGCCGCCAGGGGUUCUUCAACAAGGCCACGGAUCUGGCGGUCCUGACCGGCGCCCAGGUGGCCGCCCUCGCCUUCUCUCCCCACGGCAGGGCCUUCUCCUUCGGCCACCCCUCCGUCGACUCCGUCGUAGAACGCUUCCUGGCGGGGGAGGCUGCGGGGGCUGGCGCGAAGGAGGAGGGCGCUGCCGACCACCGCUUGCUGGCGGGGGAGGGCGCUGCCGGCGAAGACAAGAAGCUCGAGAAGCUGCACCAGGAGCUCGACGAGCUGCGCACGGAGCUGACCGAGUUGAAGAAGCGGACCAAGCGCACGGACAAGGCCAUGGCGAAAGAGCGCUCUGCGGGGGACCAGAUAGCGGCUUGGUUCGACCACAAGGCGCGCGACAUGGGAGACGAGGACAUGGCGGCCUUCUUCGCCGCGCUGAUGCAGAUGAAGGACGCCGUCUCCGAUCGCGCCAACCAGGUUCUCCUCGAGGCGAUGCACGCCCACAUGAGCCGCAUGGCGGAGGUGGCCCCGCCGCCGCUGCCGCCUCAGAUCUUCGGUGGCAGCACCUUCGAGUUCGGUAGCAGCAGCGGCACCGCCAACGACGGGAUGGAGUUCCAGUUUCGGGUGCCUCCGCCACAGGAGCAGGGGUUCGAGGCCGGGAUGGAUAUGCAGCAGAUGGUGAUGCCGGCGCCCCCUCCGUCUCACGUGGUCGCCGCCGGGAUGGAUGUGCAGGAGAUGCCUCCGCCGCCGGGAUGGAUCUGGAGCAGAUGCAGAUGA
rnacentral:rRNA from 1 species